rnacentral:lncRNA from 1 species
GUUGCUGUUGCCCAGAGUGCUGUGCUGCCCUGGCAGCCAACAGUAAGCACAGAGCAACUGAUAAACAUGACUGACUUCUUCCUUUUCUGACCUUCCCACCCCGAGCGUGCACCCAGGGCAGCCUCCAGCCCGGCCACCUGCAUGUGGGUGAGACAUGACCUCACCCUGUCUGUCCAUGUUUCUACCAGAAGACUGAGCAAGCUCCCAGAAUGGACCGCCAGCAAAAGGGACUCAAGGAAGAAGCCACUGUUCUCCAGGCCCUGGAGAGGCCACCAAAGGAGGAGCCAGCAGCGUUCCCCGGAAUAUUCUAAAACAGGACAAAUCUUCCUCAGUUGUGAUGCACAGCACAGUCUAGAAAGGGGAGGGAAUCAACCAGGGCACUUGCUCUCUGACAAUCAUCCACUGCCACGUGCAGAGGACAAGACUGACAGGGGCGGCUCAUGAGCUCAGGUGUGCUGCACGGCAACAGGGUUGAUCAGCUAAAGAGAUUAUGCAAAAACUUGAGUAUUCUAUAGACCUUCACUUUAUUUAUUUACUUUUGUGUGUGAGGAUGGUAUAUCUAUCUGCCCAUGGGUGUGCUAAUACAUGGGAAGAGGCCAGAGGGAGGAAGGACAUGGACGCCUUGCUCUAUCACUCCCCGCCUUAUUCCUUUGGGACAGGGUCUCUUAAUGAGCGUGGAGUGAGCUGGCAGCCAUCAAGCUCCAGUGAUCCUGCUGUCUUCAUCCUCCACAGCCCUAGGGUUACAGAGGCAUGCUGGGUCAUACCUGACUUUUUACAUGGGUGCUGGGGAUCUGAACUCAGGCUUUCAUGCUUGCUCAGCAAGCGCCCUUACUGCUGAGCUCUCUCUCCCGCCCUACUUGAAGUCAGUCUAGCUGGAUAACUGUUUCCUUUCCAGGACCCUGAACUAUACAGAAGAGAUCACACUUCAGCUAGCUCCAUUACCCAGGCAGCAAGAAUCACUGAAAAUAACACUGUGACAGAGAGUAGGCUAAAUGUGAUUAAAAGCUGCCAGCUUGGAGGGUCAGAGUUCAAUUCCCAGGAUGCCCCUGGUGGAAUGAAAGAACCAACUUUUGCAAGCUGUCCCCUGAUUUCCAUACACAGUGGCACGCAUCUGCAAAUCUAAUAAAAAUUUAAAAGCCAACAGUGUGGCAGAGAGACGUCUGAUCUGAGCUAUUUGGUUCUUUCAAUUUAGAAGCUGAGUUACGUCAGAUGUACAGCCUUCAGGAGGCUGCCUGUGGUCACACCAAGCUAGAGUUAGGUCACAUGUAACAACUGCUAGAGUUAAAAAAAAAAAAAAAGCCUCCACAUACAGGUAU